rnacentral:rRNA from 1 species
GCUCAGGAUGAACGCUAGCUACAGGCUUAACACAUGCAAGUCGAGGGGUAGCAGGGUAGCAAUACCGCUGACGACCGGCGCACGGGUGAGUAACACGUAUCCAACCUUCCCAUAACUCAGGGAUAGCCUUUCGAAAGAAAGAUUAAUACCUGAUAGUACUUAAGAAAGGCAUCUUUUUUAAGUUAAAGAUUUAUUGGUUAUGGAUGGGGAUGCGUUCCAUUAGAUAGUUGGUGAGGUAACGGCUCACCAAGUCUUCGAUGGAUAGGGGUUCUGAGAGGAAGGUCCCCCACAUUGGUACUGAGACACGGACCAAACUCCUACGGGAGGCAGCAGUGAGGAAUAUUGGUCAAUGGGCG